rnacentral:Y_RNA from 1 species
AGCUCAUCCAAAGGUAGUGAGUCAUUGCAAUUGAUUGUUCACUGUCAGUUGCUGAUUGAAUUCCUUGUUCUACUCUUCUACCCCUUCUCACUACUGCAUUCUACUAGUCUUAA